rnacentral:rRNA from 1 species
UUUAAAUUCGGAGAGUUUGAUCCUGGCUCAGGAUGAACGCUGGCGGCGUGCUUAACACAUGCAA